CGAACGGGUGAGUAAUGCGUCGGAAUGUACCGUGUAAUGGGGGAUAGCUCGGCGAAAGCCGGAUUAAUACCGCAUACGCCCUGAGGGGGAAAGUGGGGGACCGUAAGGCCUCACGUUAUACGAGCAGCCGACGUCUGAUUAGCUAGUUGGUGAGGUAAGAGCUCACCAAGGCGACGAUCAGUAGCGGGUCUGAGAGGAUGAUCCGCCACACUGGGACUGAGACACGGCCCAGACUCCUACGGGAGGCAGCAGUGGGGAAUUUUGGACAAUGGGCGCAAGCCUGAUCCAGCCAUGCCGCGUGUCUGAAGAAGGCCUUCGGGUUGUAAAGGACUUUUGUUCGGGAGGAAAUCCCGCUGGUUAAUACCUGGCGGGGAUGACAGUAC
rnacentral:rRNA from 20 species